GCCUGGCUAGCUCAGUUGGUAAAGCAUGCGACUCUUGAUCUCAGGGUUGUGGGGUCGAGCCCCACACUGGGUA
rnacentral:tRNA from 1 species